rnacentral:rRNA from 1 species
GAUGAACGCUGGCGGCGUGCCUAAUACAUGCAAGUCGAGCGAAGCGGGGACGGGUGAGUAACACGUGGAUAACCUCCUAUAAGACUGGGAUAAAUUCGGGAAACCGGAGCUAAACCGGAUAAUUAUCAAUGGAUGCGCGUGGAAUUAGCUAGUUGGUAAGGUAACGGCUUACAAAGGCAACGAUGCCUAGCCGACCUGACAGGGGGAUCGGACACACUGGAACUGAGACACGGUCCAGACUCCUACGUGAGGCAGCAGUAGGGAAUCUGCCGCAAUGGGCGAAAGCCUGACGGAGCAACGCCGCGUGAGUGAUGAAGGUCGUCGGAUCGUAAAACUCUGUUAUUAGGGAAGCGGUACCUAAUCAGAAAGCCACGGCUAACUACGUGCCAGCAGCCGCGGUAAUAC